AUGUGUACAUUACCAUUUCAUCUAAAUUAGGAUCAGGGUUCUGAAAUUAAUUUCCCCCCAAUUUUCCCUCUCUCUUUGCAAUGGAAGAACAUCCAUCGUCUUCCUCAUCUUCUUCUUCUGCUGCUGCUUCGACCAGUAGGAAUACUUCAGGCGGUGCUGCUGUUGCUGCCACUGCCGCUAUGACGUUUGAGAGCUUCGCAGGUUUGGGAGGAGGACGAUGACAAUCAGUGCUACCAACACACCCAUUUCUGGCAUCCGGAGCUGGAGCAAAACCAUGAAAUCGGCACUUCGUACGGUGGUAAUAUGUCGGCGUUCGAUGAGUGUCGAAGGUGAUUACAAAUGACACGUGGCGUGGUCCUGCAUCAUCGUCAUCCUCACCUUCUGGUUCUUCGGUUGAGAAUGUGAAAGCUUUGCUGGAGUUGGAGGUGAGAAGUUUAAUUUAAUUCAUGAUUUAUUGUUGUUGUUGUUUUUUUUUUUUAACUUUAUUUUUGUGGGAUUGUGCUGUUUUGGGGAAACAAUAUUAAACUGAAGUAAAGUCUAGAUAUUUCUGUAAUUGGGAUUUAGAGUAAGAGAUGAAGAACUGAAAGUGAUUGCAAAAUUAAAAGCUUAGAACUUUUUUGAUUUGGAAGCUAAUUUUAAAUUCAGUUAGCUGAUUAAUUAAUAGAGAAGCGUAUAAUGAAUGCGUGAUAUGUUUUUCACUGCAUAUGAACAGACAUGAGUACUGCUUCCGCGGCAGCAGCUGCUAUAUAAUGGUAGGGAGCUGAAGAAUUCUGAGAUGUUGAGUGCUCUUAGUGUCUGAGAUGCUGGGUCUGCAUUCUAUGUAACUUUUCUUGCAGUUACAUAUUGAUGAAAUAGAAUUGAAUUUUUGUCAUUCCCUUCUUUUUUUGAAUGCAUUUACAUUUAUAUGAUGAUUUGCAGCAUAUAUUCAUCUUUUGGUUUCUAAUUCUUCAUGCAGUCUAAGCCAUGAAGGAUUUGAUAAACCCACAAUUGAUAACAAUGUGCGGCGGCACCGACGGUUUUGGACAAGGGUUGUCCGAGAUAGGAUUUAGGAGAUUUGGUUUAGGGUUUGCAGAGAGACAGAUAGGGGGUGUCCAAGAGAAAUGUGGGAGAGAGGGGGAUCAUCGGGAUUUCAGGGAGAGAAACACAGAGAGAUGGGUGAUGGUGAACAGGCGCAAGUAUGGUCCCUUAGUCCGGGAUUCACUCUUCAUCGUCCAUACUCUGUUGCAUGCUCAGAUAAGUG